rnacentral:rRNA from 1 species
GCAUAUCCAAUAAGCGGAGGAAAAAGAAACCCAACCCGGGAUUACCCUAGUAACGGCGAGUGAAGCGGUAAGAGCUCAAAUUUGAAAGCUGGCCCCUUCGGGGUCCGCAUUGUAAUUUGCAGAGGAUGCUUCGGGAGCGGUCCCCAUCUAAGUGCCCUGGAACGGGCCGUCAUAGAGGGUGAGAAUCCCGUAUGGGAUGGGGUGCCCGCGCCCGUGUGAAGCUCCUUCGACGAGUCGAGUUGUUUGGGAAUGCAGCUCUAAUUGGGUGGUAAAUUUCAUCUAAAGCUAAAUAUUGGCCGGAGACCGAUAGCGCACAAGUAGAGUGAUCGAAAGAUGAAAAGCACUUUGAAAAGAGAGUUAAACAGCACGUGAAAUUGUUGAAAGGGAAGCGCUUGCGAUCAGACUCGCUCGCGGGGUUCAGCCGGCCUUCGGGCCGGUGUACUUCCCCGCGGGCGGGCCAGCGUCGGUUUGGGCGGCCGGUCAAAGGCCCCUGGAAUGUAACGCCUCUCGGGGCGUCUUAUAGCCAGGGGUGCCAUGCGGCCUGCCCGGACCGAGGAACGCGCUUCGGCUCGGACGCUGGCAUAAUGGUCGUAAGCGACCCGUCUUGAAACACGGACCAAGGAGUCUAACAUCUACGCGAGUGUUCGGGUGUCAAACCCGUGCGCGCAGUGAAAGCGAACGGAGGUGGGAACCCCUCGGGGUGCACCAUCGACCGAUCCUGAUGUCUUCGGAUGGAUUUGAGUAAGAGCGUAGCUGUUGGGACCCGAAAGAUGGUGAACUAUGCCUGAAUAGGGCGAAGCCAGAGGAAACUCUGGUGGAGGCUCGCAGCGGUUCUGACGUGCAAAUCGAUCGUCAAAUUUGGGUAUAGGGGCGAAAGACUAAUCGAACUCAUCUAGUAGCUGGGUUCCUGCCGAAG